ACAUUCGUGUAAACCGUCUGGGCCAACACGGCGGGGCGGCCGGCACACGCCACGGCUCGACGCACCACGCCGGCUUCUCGUAGUAGUGCCGUACGCUGUGGACGAGAGAUGGUGAACUAGACGUGUGCGCUGCCGAGAGAUCGCGACGGAGUGGGACUGGAAGUGAGCUGGUUCCGGUGCGACUCAACUCGUCACGUGGAGCGUCUACCCGCCAUCUGAGACUACGUAGGCAGGAGCUGAGGUCGACAACGGUGGUCCAUCGGAUACAGGAGUGAGUUUCAAGGGGACGAUGGCGCGGGGCGGCAGCGGCUCGGCGGCGCCGGCCGCCGGUGCUGCCACCUUCCGGCUGACAGAGGGCGCCACCAUGACGCUGCCCGACGGCUGCACGGCCACCGUUCGCCAGGGGGCGCUGGAGCUCUCGGACGGCCAGCGACUGGCGCUGCCGGAGGCCGGCGGCAGCGUCACCAUCGAGCGCAGGGUGGUGAGACCGGACGGACGCGCCGCCCUGGUCCGGCAUACCAUCCGCGUGGGCGAGGUAUCCGCCGCGAAAUCAGAUGGAGACUCAACGCCACCGGGCGACAAGGGUACCGCUGAGGUAUCGGAAAAGGACAACAAGGAGACCGCUGAGGUACCAGUACCGGACGACAAGGUCAUCGCUCAAGGACCGGAGCAGGACAAGAACACCGCUGAGGGACCAGCACAAGACUACACAACAUCUUCCGAGGCACCGGCAGAGAACAAGGGCACCGUUGAAGGACCAGUACAGGACAACGCAACGUCUCCUGAGGUACCGGCACAAGACGAUAAAGAGACCGCCGAGGUACCCCCACAGGAAAACACAGCAACCGCCGAAGUACCCACACCGGAAGAUAAGGGAACCGCUGAGGCAUCAGCACAGAAUGACACAGUAGCCAGUGAGGAACCGGUACUGGUACCGGGCAGUGCAGCGGCCGCUGAGGUGCCAGUAGAAGCUGGUGACGUACCAACCGAUAUCCCGGUGUCGGAAGAUGAAAAAGCGACUGAAGUACUGGAGAACAGCAAUAAGGCUUUACCCGAGGAGCCGAUACUGACAAAUGCGGCACCAAUCGAGGUACCGGUACCAGCCAAUGAUAUACCGGCCCGGAAACAAGCAUCAACCGAUAAUACGCCAUCUGAGCUACCGGAAGCGCAAACCGAAGAACCAGAGUCAACCAAUGAUGCAUCGUCUAAGGAACCAGUAAAGAACGAUGUUACACCGGCUGAGCAGCCGGUUCCCGCCAAUGAGACACAAGCUGAAGAACCAGUUUCGACCAAUGAGAGUUCAGAUGAGGUGAAGGAACUGAUCGACCAGGACUCGACCGAGGCACCUGCACCGUCUCAUGGAAAGUCGCAGGAGGUCCCAGUACCGGCAGAAUCCGACGUAAUCUUACCAGCAAACGUAAUCACAACAGCGACAGAGGACGCCGCCAGUUCCAAGGAAGCGCCGAAUGAAGAGCAGACUGAAAGUGCUAAUGUGCCAGACGAAAGCCUGACAGAAUCACCGUCGGAGGAAUCGACUGCGCCAUCCACAAACAGUUCCAAGGAAACGCCAUCAGACGUAUCGGAAAUAGCUGAGAAACUGUCGCCAGCCGAGGCCAAAAAUAAUCGUCCAAGUGAAUCAGCAACGCUUAGCUCAGCCAAGGAUUCCACCUGUAUGCCUGUCGAAGAACCAAGCGAAGCACUGAUGCAGGACCAGACAGGGUCACCAGCUGAGACUAGAUGUGAAACAACGGAAGAGGUAAAAGAUACAACACCUGAAAAAGCGGAUGAAACUCAGCGUGACGAAGUACCUAAGCUACCAGCCCAAAUACUACUCGAAGAAAAACGGGGAAACGACGCCGAGAGCGUCGAUGCAAAUGAUAGCCGCUGCAAAACGGAUAUACCUUCAGAAAAUCAAUCUCAAGGUAUGCAACCAUCGGCCUCAGGGAGCUCUUCGUCGCCUUUAAGGUCAUCAUUGAAAGAGUGUCUUACUCCAGUGGCGGAAGACCAGGAACCUUCCUUCGACAACAAUGCAGCGAAGCUCAGUGAUAGCAAGCAACCAUUCUGUGAAUGGACCAGCAACAAUUCGAUCGAGACAAACGAGCCGGAUGCCGCUGCUCAGGUUGACAAGUCAGACGCUGAUAAAACAUCAAGUCAAGGUGAGAGAAGCGAAGAAUGCGAUACCACCAAAAAGACUGAAGCUGAAACCGAGGACGAAAAAGAACCUGUCAUAGAACACCGUCUGGCCCAUCACGAUAGCCUACGACUGCCAACGCACGUGCCACGCCUUCGGAGACGCAGCGAAGACGAGGGUGGCCAGAUCGACAGACACAGCCCUUGUGGCAGGAAAGCCGUCGCGCACCUCAAGGAUCCAUUCAAGAAACGUGAAGAGGACGAGGCGAUGCGUAAUAAGCUUAACUCUAUUCUGCAUAAACUGGGGUACGGUAUUUAUGGCAGUGAAGGCGAUGACAAAGAGCGUGCUUCAGGGGAAGGCGGAGGAACUGAAGCUGCAGGGCCUAAGCAGCACGGCCCCUCAGGUGAAAGUGUAGAAGGUCCGGAGGAGCCAGAGCCCGUCUCGGUGCCGAAAGUUAUCAGCUACUUUGAGUCCAUCACGCCUCAAAGAAUGGAGAGUCCGGUAGAGAAGCGGAAGUGGCGAAGCUCCGACCGUUCACCCUCAGCGCUACGAGCUCAGAGAAGUGCGCGGUCCCCUGAGCCGUCACGCUCCAUGGAGAAGUCUCCAGGAAAACAGUCCCCGUCACUGCGCCGAGUCAACUUUGCACACUCGGCGCAGAGGGUGUUGAUCAGCAGCACAUCUGAGCCCGAUGAAAUGGAACACAUUCCCAUCCCUCAUCAUGAGGACUCCAGUCCAGAAAUAAUUCAGCCUUGCCAAAGGGAAGUGCAACCCGUUGUUACAUCACAACCAACUAGACUGAAUACGAUCCUCGCUCAGAGCCCACCAGAUAAUAACUCAGAAGAUCCUUUGACAGCCUCAGAUACAACAGGAGAUCGCACAAAGGAUGAAGACCUGCCUAAAAUACCUGCAACGCCUGAAAAAGAUACCGGAGAACCAAGUGAUAUCCAAAAGAGGGAAGCCUCACCACAAGCGUUGGUAAGCAGCGUCACGGAAGUAAACCGGGGUGAGACGGAACCGUCUAAAUCAACACCAAACGAAUCCCCAGCCACACAAAGCAAAGACAGCGUUGACAGUCCAGGACCAGAUGAGACCGCGGAAGCCUCGGAAACCACUCCAUUAAUAACCUCGUCUACCGCAGAGGAACUCAACCAGCCCACAUCUGGCGGAGACAGCAAGGCUGACAGUGGAGUCACCCCCCUCCAGGCGGAGCCAUUGCCCCGGCCCUCGUCCGUGGUGAUCCAAGGUGAACUGCCUCUCAGGGACUUCACCACGUCACGGACAGGGGACCCCACAGAACUGGAGGAAGGCGCCUCUCCAGUGCUGCUGAUUGACGAGGGGACCGAGGAGGCUGUCGAUGGCGGAGCCAGGGACCCGUUCCUCCCGGAUGGCGUGGCGGAUCGUCGCGAUACCGUCAGCAAGUCUUCUAGCUGGUUCGAAGACUGCUUGUCAUUCUGCUGCUGUUGCUGGGGACCUUGAGCCACCAAAUGCUCCUGGGGUUUAAGGUGCCGACCAGUGAGAUAUGUGAUGUAGGUAGUAUAGGUGUACGUUUACUGAAUGUGUGCAUUGUGCAAUGAAUCUUCAGCUUCUUACGUGUACGUCUACUGAAUGUGUGCAUUGUGCAAUGAAUCUUCUGGCCAAAGCUGCGCAAUGGAAACGUUCGACCUAUUAAAUGUAUUCAUAUGACGCCAGCCUGGGGUUAUUUGAAGUCGUCAUGAGCUAAGGUAGGCUGGAAUCCGAAUAACAUGCAGUUUAAUUCAGACGGUAUCAGACCGUCAGUCAUCAAAUAUAGGAAAUGUACCUACAUGAACAGUAGGUACACGUAUUAUGAGCUUGUAUGCCGCGGCCCGCCCGUGGGUAGUGCAUGGUUUUAGGCGUGCGAAACAGAAAUAUAUUUGGGUAACAAUGCAGUUGUGCCGAGAUGUGGAUUGCAGUGUCACUGCUAACUAAUCAAAGGAUUGUUGAAUUUGGUUGUGCGAGUGUGCGAACAUGCGUUACUGGUGGAAAGGUAGCCUAGUAGUCCAUUCGGUUCUUCUUUAGGCUAUCGAUGCUGAUAGCUGAUGUUAAUACAUCAGAUAUGCCUUAGUACCAAUUCAAGAUAGUUGCUGACGACAGUCAUUCACAAGAUAGUCAUUCACAAAUCACAAGUGCUCGAUAUAGCUAUGCAAUAUGUUUAUCGAUAUGUCGGCCGGUGGGAGAAUGUUUCGUCUUGUGCCACGCAUUGCAAUCGAGGUAAGGUAUAUACUCAUCCACCGAAUCGAAAGCGACAGCUUUGCGCGGCAACCCUCCAAUACAAGCAUGUGCCUAUCCAUACUGUAUGGCCUAUCCAUACCGUAUGGCGUAUAGCAGACCCGUAUGGCGUAUAGGUAGGUACCUAUAAUGCCUGCAAAGUGUUGUAAAAAGAGCAAUAGUCGAGAAGUUGCAUGUAUUCAUUGUCAUGCCUCGUUUGUAAAUAUCUUGAGCGUGUGUCAUUGCGAGCUAAGAAAACAUAUGCAUAAAUACAGAACUAACUGGUGA